rnacentral:rRNA from 1 species
UAACACAUGCAAGUCGUGAACAGGUACGCGGAACAUUGCUCCCUGAUUCAGCGGCGGACGGGUGAGUAAUGCCUAGGAAUCUGCCUAUUAGUGGGGGACAACGUUUCGAAAGGAACGCUAAUACCGCAUACGUCCUACGGGAGAAAGCAGGGGACCUUCGGGCCUUGCGCUAAUAGAUGAGCCUAGGUCGGAUUAGCUAGUUGGUGAGGUAAUGGCUCACCAAGGCGACGAUCCGUAACUGGUCUGAGAGGAUGAUCAGUCACACUGGAACUGAGACACGGUCCAGACUCCUACGGGAGGCAGCAGUGGGGAAUAUUGGACAAUGGGCGAAAGCCUGAUCCAGCCAUGCCGCGUGUGUGAAGAAGGUCUUCGGAUUGUAAAGCACUUUAAGUUGGGAGGAAGGGUUGUAGAUUAAUACUCUGCAAUUUUGACGUUACCGACAGAAUAAGCACCGGCUAACUCUGUGCCAGCAGCCGCGGUAAUACAGAGGGUGCAAGCGUUAAUCGGAAUUACUGGGCGUAAAGCGCGCGUAGGUGGUUUGUAAGUUGGAUGUGAAAACCACUGG